rnacentral:rRNA from 1 species
UACGUAGGUGGCGAGCGUUAUCCGGAAUUACUGGGCGUAAAGCGCACGCAGGCGGCUUUUUAAGUUUGACGUGAAAGCUCCCGGCUUAACUGGGAGAGGUCGUUGAAGACUGGAAGGCUUGAGGCAAUGAGAGGGGUGUAGAAUUCCCGGUGUAGUGGUGGAAUGCGUAGAUAUCGGGGGGAAUACCAGUGGCGAAAGCGGCACCCUAGCGUUGUUCUGACGCUCAUGUGCGAAAGCGUGGGGAGCGAAC